UCUUGCUUAUAAAAGUUACACCUGCAAAAAUGGGACUGAAUCCAGUGAGGAAGGACAUAACAUUUUGCCUGAAUGUGCAAAAUAUGAGUGGGGUGUUGUCUGUAUCCCUGCAGGCUCCGAGCAGCCUAGUGGGUAAAGAAACCAAGGCUUAGAGACCUGCUCACAGUCGUUUCGUGAGGGAAUGCAACAUCUGGGUCUAGGGUCCAAAUCUAUCUCUGCUGUGAAGAGGAACUCAUACAGGAGAUCUACAUGAUUACCAAUUCUUGGCCUUGCAGUGGAGGGAUUUGUCCUUACAGUGCUGUGGAAACUGGUGAAGAGGUCUGAGUUUGGAUAUAAAGCUGUAGUUUCUGGCCUGGUGCUGGCACCUGAAGUCCACAGACAGCUGGGCAAAGAAGAUGGAUGGGAAGCAGAGGAAGAAAAGGCAAGCUGAAUGAAGGAGAAACUGGUGCCUUCCAUCAUGGAGCUAAAUAUGCAUCUGGUCCAGGAUUCAGGGAAAUUGAUGCAGCAGGAGGAUCUGGCAGGAGCCCAGCUGCUGCCCCUCACCAACAAGCACCUCCUCCAAACUGAAGCAUAACCUCAUUUCUACCCCAAUGUGGCACACACUGUUGAUACUGAGAGAUGCAAUGCAACUAGCUCCGUGUGGCAAGUCUGUAGGAUCCCACAAAUUACCGGGAGUACAGAAGUUCUGGUCCAUUCUCAGAAGAAUUCUCUAACCAAGGAAAACCAAAAUCAUGUUAUUGCCAUCACUGACAGUUCCAACUGCACCUGAGCACUGCUCUUCACUGUCUUACCCUGAAGUUUAAACCCUAGAUUGAGCACCAACCUGUGCCCCCAUCUUAAAAUCUCAUUAAAUAUCUAAUUCAUUCUUCGGCUUUCCCAUAUUAAAAUAACUUAUUACACACUCAAGCAUCAGUUGCUUGUUUACCUCACACUG
rnacentral:lncRNA from 1 species